CUUUGGAAGCAAGGAUGCCAUCAGAUCUUUUAUUUCCAGCCCAGUACCAUAUACAGUGCUCCACACACAGCAAAUAAAGAAAUGAAGAUGCAAAGAGCUUAAAUGAUUUUAAGACCUCAUAGGCAUUUAGCUACAAAGUUUUAUUUUUCUCAGCUGAAUGUUCUUUCCAUCAUUUUAUUGAGGUAUUCCCCCGAACCUAGGGAACUGGAAACAACCCUUUUCAUUUCCAGCCAUAUCUUAUAACUUCAAGAUAUCCAAUGAGGGAUGGAGAAUGGACUGGCCCUUUUUCAACCAAGAAUAAUAAUAUUCUUUGAAUAUUUGUACUGGAGUCCUUAGCUUCCUUUUUGUGCCUGUCUUUUCUUUUCUGAGUAGUUGAUAUAGCAUCAACUUUGAUGUGGGUAUGUUCAAGUUUGGAGGAAAUCCUGUGGAUAAGUUGAAUGAAACUGACCAUCAGCAAUGGAAGUUUCUUCAUUUGAGAAGAUGAUCAAUAAAAAGAGGAGACCAAGCCCCUCAAGUGCUUUGCCAGAAGAUAUCAACUUUGAGGAAUACAGUGAGGAGCCAAAGUGAAAUUUAAAUACCUAAUCAGUAAUCCUGAAACUUGCUUAAUGUUCUGAUGAGUUUGGCAUACAACCUCCCAUUAUAUUGCAACAAUAGUUACAAAUUAAGUUACUGAAUACCCUUUAAAAUAGAUCAAUAAAUAUAUGCUAUAAGU